rnacentral:rRNA from 1 species
AGACCCGAAACCCGGUGAUCUAGCCAUGGGCAGGUUGAAGGUUGGGUAACACUAACUGGAGGACCGAACCGACUAAUGUUGAAAAAUUAGCGGAUGACCUGUGGCUGGGGGUGAAAGGCCAAUCAAACCGGGAGAUAGCUGGUUCUCCCCGAAAGCUAUUUAGGUAGCGCCUCGUGAAUUCAUCUCCGGGGGUAGAGCACUGUUUCGGCUAGGGGGCCAUCCCGGCUUACCAACCCGAUGCAAACUGCGAAUACCGGAGAAUGUUAUCACGGGAGACACACGGCGGGUGCUAACGUCCGUCGUGAAGAGGGAAACAACCCAGACCGCCAGCUAAGGUCCCAAAGUCAUGGUUAAGUGGGAAACGAUGUGGGAAGGCCCAGACAGCCAGGAUGUUGGCUUAGAAGCAGCCAUCAUUUAAAGAAAGCGUAAUAGCUCACUGGUCGAGUCGGCCUGCGCGGAAGAUGUAACGGGGCUAAACCAUGCACCGAAGCUGCGGCAGCGACACUGUGUGUUGUUGGGUAGGGGAGCGUUCUGUAAGCCUGUGAAGGUGGCCUGUGAGGGUUGCUGGAGGUAUCAGAAGUGCGAAUGCUGACAUAAGUAACGAUAAAGCGGGUGAAAAGCCCGCUCGCCGGAAGACCAAGGGUUCCUGUCCAACGUUAAUCGGGGCAGGGUGAGUCGACCCCUAAGGCGAGGCCGAAAGGCGUAGUCGAUGGGAAACAGGUUAAUAUUCCUGUACUUGGUGUUACUGCGAAGGGGGGACGGAGAAGGCUAUGUUGGCCGGGCGACGGUUGUCCCGGUUUAAGCGUGUAGGCUGGUUUUCCAGGCAAAUCCG